rnacentral:rRNA from 1 species
AUGGGCAGGGUGAAGGUGCAGUAACAUGCACUGGAGGCCCGAACCGUUGCACGUUGAAAAGUGCUCGGAUGACCUGUGCCUAGGGGUGAAAGGCCAAUCAAACUUGCUGAUAGCUGGUUCUCCGCGAAAUCUAUUUAGGUAGAGCGUCGAUCGAAUACUCUCGGGGGUAGAGCACUGACUGGGCUAGGGGUCCUCACCGGAUUACCAAACCUUAUCAAACUCCGAAUACCGAGAAGUACUAAUCGGCAGACACACGGCGGGUGCUAACGUCCGUCGUGGAGAGGGAAACAACCCUGACCACCAAUUAAGGUCCCCAAAUAAUGGCUAAGUGUGAAAGGAUGUGGGAUUGCUUUGACAAUGAGGAGGUUGGCUUAGAAGCAGCCAUCCUUUAAAGAAAGCGUAACAGCUCACUCAUCAAGCGAUCCUGCGCCGAAAAUGUAACGGGGCUAAAGCCAUUUACCGAAAUUGUGGGCUCGUAAGAGCGGUAGCGGAGCGUUCCGUAAGCCUGUGAAGGUAAACCGUAAGGUUUGCUGGAGGUAUCGGAAGUGAGAAUGUUGACAUGAGUAGCGACAAAGCGGGUGAGAGACCCGCUCGCCGAAAAUCCAAGGGUUCCUGCGUAAAGCUAAUCUGCGCAGGGUUAGCCGGCCCCUAAGGCGAGGCCGAAAGGCGUAGCCGAUGGGAACCACGUUAAUAUUCGUGGGCCUGGGAGUGUGUGACGGAU